rnacentral:rRNA from 1 species
UGCAGAAUCCCGUGAACCAUCGAGUCUUUGAACGCAAGUUGCGCCCGAAGCCAUUAGGUUGAGGGCAUGCCUGCCUGGGUGUCACAC